rnacentral:tRNA from 1 species
AAUUAAUGAUCUUGAACAAAGUUUAUGUCUUGAAUACAUAAGAAAGAAAUAAAACUUUCUAUUAAUUU